rnacentral:rRNA from 1 species
GGAUGAACGCUGGCGGCGUGCCCAAUCCAUGCAAGUCGAGCGAACAGACGAGGAGCUUGCUCCUCUGACGUUAGCGGCGGACGGGUGAGUAACACGUGGAUAACCUACCUAUAAGACUGGGAUAACUUCGGGAAACCGGAGCUAAUACCGGAUAAUAUAUUGAACCGCAUGGUUCAAUAGUGAAAGACGGUUUUGCUGUCACUUAUAGAUGGAUCCGCGCCGCAUUAGCUAGUUGGUAAGGUAACGGCUUACCAAGGCAACGAUGCGUAGCCGACCUGAGAGGGUGAUCGGCCACACUGGAACUGAGACACGGUCCAGACUCCUACGGGAGGCAGCAGUAGGGAAUCUUCCGCAAUGGGCGAAAGCUUGACGGAGCAACGCCGCGUGAGUGAUGAAGGUCUUCGGAUCGUAAAACUCUGUUAUUAGGGAAGAACAAAUGUGUAAGUAACUAUGCACGUCUUGACGGUACCUAAUCAGAAAGCCACGGCUAACUACGUG